rnacentral:rRNA from 1 species
GGCGAACGGGUGAGUAACACGUGAGUAACCUGCCCUUGACUCUGGGAUAACUGCUGGAAACGGUGGCUAAUACCGGAUAUGAGACUUCUCCGCAUGGGGUGGUUUGGAAAGAUUUUUCGGUCAGGGAUGGACUCGCGGCCUAUCAGCUUGUUGGUGGGGUGAUGGCCUACCAAGGCGACGACGGUAGCCGGCUGAGAGGGCGACCGGCCACACUGGGACUGAGACCGGCCCAGACUCAUACGGGAGGCAGCAGUGGGGAAUAUUGCACAAUGGGCGCAAUGCCUGAUGCAGCGACGCCGGUGAGGGAUGGAGGCCUUCGGGUUGUAAACCUCUUUCAGCAGGGAAGAAGCGCAGUGACGGUCCCUGCAGAAGAAGCGCCGGUUAACUACGUGCCAGCCGCCG